GGGGUGAGACUGAGAGUCGGUCUACUGACUUUUAAUCAGUAGGUCGAUGGUUCGAUCCCAUCCGGGCUCGCCA
rnacentral:tRNA from 1 species